rnacentral:lncRNA from 1 species
UUGGGGACGCCCUCCUCCCUCAAGCUCCUCCCUCCGGGCUCAGAGCCUAGGCAAGCGGGCCAAAUAGGGGAGACCCCAGACAGCUGGCCAGGAAGACACCAGAGUUAAGAGCCAGUCAGAGGCUCCUAGGAGCAAUCUCCCCUACACAGGAUGAAACGUACUCACAAAUAUCACACAGGAAAUGAUCCAAGCUAAUCUGCUAUCUUGACCCUGGACAAAUAUAGUAUUAGCCAGAGAGGGAGAGUGAUAUCACACGCUUGGCAGGCCUUAGGGAGUGCUAGGCAGCGCGU